AAAGAAUGGAUGAAAAACGCAGGUAACACCUCCCCCAGGUAACUUUUUUCCUUGUUAUCUUCACGACGAAGGCAGCUAGCCCACGCAUGCAACCUUUCUCUCCUUACCUCCACCUAUCGGCACGUCCUCCCCAUCCAUGGCCAUGGGAAGCGGCCGUGCAGAGCAGGGCGUCACCAGCGGGAGAGGCGCUGGCUGCGCUCAAAUCGGCCGGCCGCGUAGUGUGGGGAGCUGGGGAAGAUGGAGAGACGGCGGAUUUAGGGGUCUGAGUGGUGUAGAUGUGGCUGCUGGAGAUGAUCGGAUCUCUCGUCUCCCCUAUUUUCAUGUCGCCACCACCUCUCCUGUCAUCCAUGUCAGGGCCUCGCCCUCACUGCCCACCGGCGCGACCUCCGCGUGGUGGCGAAGAUAGCAGCGGCUGGUGCCGUCGCCGCCGAUUUAGCUAUGUUUGUGUGCCGGGGCGGUGGUCUCGGUAGGCCGAAUGGCAGGGUACAAGGAGGCCAGGAGGAAGAAGAGGAGGAGCAGGAGAGGCCCGCCACUGAGGGGACGCGAGAUGUAGAAGGUGCAGGGGAGGCCGUUGGUGGCGGAGACGCUGGUGGUGCGCAAGGCAGGGAUGUGCCUGCCGAGCCCCCCCGACGGCGAUGGGUCUGGGUAAGUUCGUUGAGCUUUUAGGUUUUGGUUUUGGUCUGUUGGACUGGGUGAGGUUGGUUAACUCGAUUUUCUUUGGUCUGUGCUUCUGUACACGAAAUUUUUUGUUGGGACCGUAGCCUGGGAGACAGCCGAAGGUAGAUACGAGUAAUUCAUGUUUGGAAUGCUAGCAUAUGCUUCUGUGUCGUCGCUGGAUUAUUAUUAUUGCAGUUCAGUAGUAGUCAUUCUUGGCACUGCUAAUUAUAUUUGUAAUGCUAGCAUAUACUGAAACAAACAUCAACCAUAUAUAACUUCUUAUGUGUCACCAUUGCUUGUCCGGGUCACUUCAGGGAGGCGUGCUGUGGAAGCAGCAGGUUGCAGGUUUGUGCUAAGUGGGGGACAUAUGGUGAAAGCGGCAAAAGGGAAAGGCUCGGGAUUGUUGGAUUGGCAGUUUGGGAGUCUGCAUGCGAAAUGAUUGUCGGCCCGAAAUUGUAGGAUUGGGAACUCCUCUGGGUUGCUCUUUGCUUAUACAUGCAACAAAAUAUAUUGCACUUCCACUGAUCACAGUUCAUCUCUACAUUCUCAGUAGGUACUUCAAUUGAAGAGCUUUUCUCCUUGUGAUAGGAGAUAAUUUGAUAGAUUCAAAACAUAUCUAUCUAUUUUUACUAAUUUCUUCAUUGCUCAAAUGGAUGGCAUUUUCUUUUCAAAAAAAGGAAGAAGGAUGGAUGGUUGUAGAAAGAGAACUGUCGUACAUGGAUAGCUUUAUUUACUGUCGUUUGUAGUCAAGUAAUAUAGCAAGUUUUACAAAUUAGAAGGAUUUUGGUGUUGACCGUGAGACACCAAAAGGAUUUCACUAUUACUAGGGGUCUGAAAGGAAACAAGUUGUUGUACAGAAAAUGUGAAUAUUUAUCUGUUUGUGGUGAUAGAUUUUUUUUCAGGUUUGUAAGACUACGCUGACAACUAUAUAUACCAAAUCCAGGACGUAGUUCGGUGGAUCGGAUGGGAGCACUACAAAGUUACAUAUAGAUAGAGAUAACAAGUUCUUUGUGAUGUGCCAUGUUGCCUCUGCCUAUGUGAACCCAAAUAUCAGAGAAUACACUUUAUUUGUCAUGUUUGUUAGUUUAAUUUAUUACUUAUUUAACUUGCUAGGAAUUGAAUUGGUACCAAAUAUACUCCCUCCGUCCGAUAAUAUAAGCCCUUACAUAGCUGGUUAUACCGACUGAGGCGAAAUCAUUCUCUUGCAGGCGCUGGUGCUUAUGGUUUAACUGCUAUUGUCGUUGGAACCAUUGGCUAUUUAUGCGUAGAUGGAAGGGAUGGAAAAUUUCUGAUAUGAUGUUUGUGACCAAGCGUGGCUUGGCUGAUGGGUGCAACAUAGCUGCCAAACAAUUGAAUCAGGUUUCAAAAAAUGUUCAUGUAAGACUUUUUUUCCCUAUAUUCAGUAAAUAGUUCAACCACUUGCUCGGAGAGGGGUUGUCGAGGAUGAUGGCGACGAGCAAGUCGGUGUCCGUGAAGCCGAAGCCAUUCUAGCUCUUCAAAUCCACAAGGAGAGCCUUGACGGGCUGUAUGAGUGGGACAAGAAGCUCUACGAGGAAGUCACGGCAGAGGAGCGUGUCCGGCUGUGGUACGACAAGAAAUGCGCGCAUCUGAGAGCCAGGAGCUGCCAUCAGGACCCCUGGACCAACCUCAGCAUCUCCCUCGCCUUCAAGAGGACUAGGGCUGCCAUCAGGACCUCCGGACCAAGCUCAACAUCUCCCUCUCCUCCGUCGACGCCGUGUCCCGGAGGGUUGUCGCCGUCCGCAACAACGAGCUGCUACCUGGUGCCUGCUGCCGUAGCUCGCUUAGCUCAUCCGAGGGUUGGCAAGGAUGUAGCUGAGUGAUCCGCGUGCACCACCGGGUGAUGAAGCGCAUGGCGGACGAGGCGAGUGUUCUCGUCGUGGGUCGUGUGGUCGUUCAUCAAGACUUGUUGUGUAUGUACAUGUGCUAUCCUGAUUGAAAAAGGCAACUGAAAAGGAGCCGUAUCAGGCGGCGCCUCUUGAUCUCCCAUGCUUCUAAUUAAC